GAUUUGUCUACAGAAAUCCUCGGAUACCGGUACUCACGGUAUACGCGAGCUCCUAUGUAAGGGCUAAGGCGCGCGCCCCCGCGGGCUGCUUAAACUUCUUAGGCUACAAAUGCACAUGAAGCUAUUGCAAUCGAUGGGUGCAGGAAUCGUCAGUUUCAUUCAGCUGUAUUUUGCAUUAUUCUCACUAUUAUUGUUGUGUCGAAAAAAAUGCAAUCUAACAAACUUUUUCGUGACAAAAAAAAAGAGUAAAGUUACAUCGAUUUGCUAUCGAGAAACUUGAAGCUUUUCGAAGGACACUAGGAAGGUGGGAUUUGCCUAUUCCUUGGGAGCCUACUUAGGUAAAAGCGAUCGUCAGUUCUAAUUGGGCCAACCGUGUGGAAUCCACCUCAAUUUCCCACCAUUUCCCCCGCCUUCUCACAUGGUGACGUGGAUACAUGCUUUUUUUAUGUUUUACACGUCACCGGCAAGUACCGCCUCCUGAAGUAACGGGACCGAUGAGUUGGGGAGGCUGUUGGAGAUAGGUGCAGAAGAGGUGGCUUUUACCAGGAUUUCAGCUGUAACGUGGAAUGGGUUCAGAGUUUCAUAUCUACAGAGCUUCAGUGACAGAAGUUACAGCUCAGCUAAAAGAAAGAACCUUAUGAUAAAGAAAUGCAGCAUUGCUGGAAUUGGUGCAGUAGUGACUUGUAUGGCAUUCAAAUUCGUCAUGAAUUCUGCAGAGGUUUGAGAAUUUAUUAGCGUGAAGAACUUUACAAAGAUUGUAAGGAUGCAGCUGUUCAGAAUCUAAGUCAGACAUUUUGAAAAAUUAAAUCUUUUGCUUUUUUAAGGCUUAUACUUGUGCUCAGACUAGCAAAACAUUGAGAACCAUAGACUGUUACUUUGAUCAAAAGCUAUAUUGCCCAAACUGUGUUGGAACUUUCUGAUUAUCUUAAAUGUUUUGCUUUGGAGGAUGUUAUCUGAAUUAAAAAAAAAAAAUUUGACCUAAACUUAGCAGGAAAUGAAGUGCCAGGACUUC